rnacentral:rRNA from 1 species
CACACGACUCUCGGCAACGGAUAUCUCGGCUCUCGCAUCGAUGAAGAACGUAGCGAAAUGCGAUACCUGGUGUGAAUUGCAGAAUCCCGCGAACCAUCGAGUCUUUGAACGCAAGUUGCGCCCGAGGCCACUCGGUCGAGGGCACGCCUGCCUGGGCGUCACG